rnacentral:rRNA from 1 species
CCAGCAGCCGCGGUAAUUCCAGCUCCAAUAGCGUAUAUUUAAGUUGUUGCAGUUAAAAAGCUCGUAGUUGGAUUUCGGUUGGGGGCGGCCGGUCCGCCGUUCGGUGUGCACUGGCUGGUCCCAGCUUCCUGUCGAGGUCGCGCUUCUGGGCAACGCUCGGAACGCGGAGUCGGCGUGGUUACUUUGAAAAAAUUAGAGUGUUCAAAGCGGGCUUACGCUUGAAUAUAUUAGCAUGGAAUAACACUAUAGGACUCCUAUCCUAUUUCGUUGGUCUCGGGACGGGAGUAAUGAUUAAGAGGAACAGUUGGGGGCAUUCGUAUUUCAUUGUCAGAGGUGAAAUUCUUGGAUUUAUGAAAGACGAACUUCUGCGAAAGCAUUUGCCAAGGAUGUUUUCA